rnacentral:rRNA from 1 species
UUGGGCAGUGGAGACAUUGUCCUUCAGUUAGGCUGGCCCCAGAACAGGUGCUGCAUGGCUGUCGUCAGCUCGUGUCGUGAGAUGUUGGGUUAAGUCCCGCAACGAGCGCAACCCUCGCCCUUAGUUGCCAGCAUUUAGUUGGGCACUCUAAGGGGACUGCCGGUGAUAAGCCGAGAGGAAGGUGGGGAUGACGUCAAGUCCUCAUGGCCCUUACGGGCUGGGCUACACACGUGCUACAAUGGUGGUGACAGUGGGCAGCGAGACAGCGAUGUCGAGCUAAUCUCCAAAAGCCAUCUCAGUUCGGAUUGCACUCUGCAACUCGAGUGCAUGAAGUUGGAAUCGCUAGUAAUCGCAGAUCAGCA